rnacentral:RNase_P_RNA from 1 species
GCGGAUGGCCGGAUGACCGCGACGGGGUUCGCCCCUUCGAGGAAAGUCCGGGCUCCAUGAAGCAAGGGUGCCGGGUAACGCCCGGCCGGGGCAACCCGAGGGAAAGCGCCACAGAGAUGAGUCUGCCCCGAGUUUUCGGGGUGAUGGUGAAACGGUGGGGUAAGAGCCCACCGCGGUCCGGGCAACCGGGACGGCAAGGCAAGCCCCACCCGGAGCAAUGCCGAAUAGGGGUCUCACGCGGGGCCGGUCGCGCAAGCGAUACCGCCGCAGGGAUGCUUCAGCCCAGAGACCCGGGUUGGCAGCUGGAACCCGUCGGUAACGGCGGGCCGAGAGGAAUGGUCAUCCAGAGGGGGCAACCCCUUGGACAGAACCCGGCUUACAGGCCAUCCGCGCAU